CGUCGUCAAAAUUAUCUGGACGACCCCGGAUGACGAAACGGACUGCGUCGUUUCGUCCGGAAUGUUAAUUUUAGCCGGUAAGGACACCCACAUUGCUAGUGUUACGCGCGCGCACAAAAGACACAAAAAUCGAUACACAUUUUUUUAAUUAGCAGGGUGUGGGCCCGGGCUCAACCCAGAUUCAACUCGGGUUCAAUUUGGGUUGAAUUCACGCAAAACAAUUUUGAAUUUCAAAAUUUCAAAAUUUAAAAUAAAUCAUUUAGUCUGGCAUUAAUUAAAAGCUAUUAAUGGCCAAAUAAAACUCCUCCCCCAAUGGAAAUUCAUCAAUUACCCCCCCAUUAUCGCAUAACGGACUUUUUGGAAUUCCUUGAAUACAAGAUCCCGCUUAGCUCCUUCCAAGCAUUCGGCCUCCCCUUCCCCACAACCAGAUUCCGGACUUCUAUCUCCCUCACGGGAACUCCUGUGUCGAAGAAAACCCCUCACACCUACUCGUUGCUUCCCGCACCGAAGGCCUUCGCCUACUUUCUUCCUCACACAACCAAACAAUCGCGCGAUUCGCCAUCAUCGCUCGCUCGAAACCCUCGACUUCCCUCUACACCGAAAGCCUUUGUAACUUGCACUGAAACACUCGCCUCCAUCGCGCUUCUCUUUCGAUUCGUGUCUUCCUCUCGCACUGAAACCUCGCCUAGCUUGCUUCUCCCUCCCCGGCUCGACUCUCUUCCUCGCUUGCCCAGAAGGCCUCGCCUCGAUCACUUGGCCUGCUCCCUCUAUCGCAAUCACCCUAUCUCGCCUCCCUCAUCUUUGCGCAGAAGAAACUCCGCUCGCUUCCUCAAUCAGCACCGAAACUCUUGCCUGCUGCUGCGACUCUCCUCGGCACUGAAGCUCACAUACAUUUCUUUUUCUUUUUCUCCUCCAUCGACUCUCCUACCUGUGAGAAAGCCAUUGUUAUUCCGACCACGAGCUAGUUCGUAGCAGGCAUUUUGUUUAACCGAUUUCAGAUAGCAGACCCCGCGUUCAGGGGACUCUAUUGAACACAUCGAAGGUUAAAGAGAAUGUCUCUCGCGCUGAGAGGCACGACACUACUGCAACCACUUCGAACACCCCUCUUGUUGUCCCUCCUCCCAUACGAGCUCCCUCAGAGGCACAAACUCUCCCACCUGCACCAUUUUUCCGUCCAAAUUCCUCAUCUAAUGAGCAAAGCCAUCCGACUCCUACACCUGAUAUGGUUUACUCUGCCGACACAGUCUAAAUUGUGUAGAGGGUGACUCAUAAGUCAACAUUCCUUUUUACUGUGCAUUAAUUUCAAUUUCAUUCCACUUGUUAUUGUAACUAAUAUUUCAAUUACAAGUUCUACACUUACUAGUCGCCCUUGAAGCGGAACAUGGAGAUCAUUCGGAGUCGGUGUGAUAUGUCAUUUGUCUCAUGGAAAUAGAUCCCGAUAGCAACUCGGGACAUGUGGUUUAGGGAGUUCGAGAGGUAAUUUUACUAAUUGUCAGAAAAACAACAGAUCCGGCAGAUUUUUUAGAUUAGUGGCAGACAUUGGCUCGAGGAUAUGUUCAUUACAGCGUCUGGGCUGAUUUAAAAAGAGCAUGGGCCUCCACGGAAUACCAGGGGAAAAGAUAGACAAACAAGUAGGACCGAAUGACCGAAGGAGCCAUAGGGGUCGCACUCCACAUUGGAGGUUCGAUCCUACACACAGAGCGCUACCAAAAACUGGUCAAGGAGCUUAACCAAGAGCCAUCAACUGUAGAGUUGCAUGUCCUAACGCAUCGGCACCCAAGCACACAACAGCGGGCAAUCGAUCACUCUCAGCAUGUCAAUAGAAGUACGAACAACUCCGAAAGAGACUAACCAGACCUCGUCGUCUUCCAGCAGCAGUAGUAGCUAGUCUACCACUGCUCAGUCCGAUUUUAAGUUGUGAAUGUCGGCGACGUGAAAGAAUGAUAGGACAGUGUAUGGCCUAGGAGCAAAAGGAAUAGCAUUUGAGCUCGAGCGCUCUCUUGCAGCUGUGGGUGGCCCAAGCUCGUUACAGACUCAGUAUAAUGAGCUUGUCAAGCGGGGGUCAUGAUGAUGAAUGAAGAGCUACGACAGGGGCAUGAAGGUCAGUAGAUGGCUGUAAAUAGUAUAGCAUGUCUGACGGAGAGUUUUGAUCGUCGAAGCAAGCGACAUAUGAGUGUUGUUUAGGAGGAUGAGGGUGGUCACGAGGAGGAUGAGGAGGGUUAGGAGGAUGAGGAGGGUCAGGAGGAGGAUGAGGAAGAUGAGGAUUUUUAUUACGUUCUUGUUGGUGUUCCUCCAUCAUAGGGGCUGAAUAUAUGUUUUUUUCAUUUAUGAUUAACUGUACUUUCAAUUUAUGUAGUUGUUAACUGUGAACUUGGAACAAUUUCAUAUUUCUAUCUUAUAUUUAAUUUGUUAUUAUUAUUUAGAUGUUGUGGUAGUGAUUUCUUUUAUCAGUUCUGAUGAUAAAUAAAUGUCAUAUUAUGUUUGUGUUAGUUCUGUGCAGGCAUAUGAAAAGUAGUACCUUCUGUUGUAUUUUUUUUUUCUGGCAGGUUUACAUCAGAAUUGCGUCGAACUAUUCUGACGCUAAUAGCUACAAUAAUUUACUCGAUAUUCGGCAACGCUACCUCGAUGAUAGCACAAAUCAACAUCAGGAUAUUGUCGACGAUAAGUAGCGUCAGACGUGCCCAAUGUUGACGCUAAUUUGUGUCGGAUGGGUUCGACGCUAUUGCAUCACUAAUACAACGUCGACCAUAUUUUCGAAGAAAAUUCACAACGAAGGAAUGUGGAGACGCUAAUUCUUACGUAAAUAAAACUAA